rnacentral:tRNA from 1 species
AUUUAUAUAGUUUAAUUAAAACAUUACAUUUUCAUUGUAAAAAUAAAAUUUUAUUUUUGUAAAUA